AUGUAUAUGUGUGUAUUUAUACAUACUUAAGUAUAUACUCACGUGUAUAUGCAUUUAUCAUAUCUUUUUGUUUUUUCUCAUUUUUAAAGUCUUUUCGUAAAAAAUGAAGUAAUGCCAACUUUAGCAAAAAUAGAACAUGACCAGUUAAAAGAGAGAGAGAAAUAUAAAGAAGUUUUUAAAAACAUAAAUGAUUACAACUCAAACUUUAACAGACAGACCUUUUUGCAAUUUCUUAUAGAUUUAUAUAACAUUUUUUUAAAAAUUGAUGAAUUUUUUUUAACUUAUAAAAAUGAGUUUUCACUACUUACUUAUACUGGUCCUAUGUUACUGACUAAUUGUCUUUAUGAUGACAUUAUUUAUUGACUACAGUGGUUGAGAACUCUGAUGACAUAACAGUUAGCCAAUAUGGAAAAGAAUAUAUUUUACACCUAGAACAGUUAGUUGAACAUAAUAAAAUAAGUAAGUUUUUUUAGUAAUAAUAAUAA
rnacentral:lncRNA from 1 species